rnacentral:rRNA from 1 species
CGGUAAUCUCUCACAUAUCCGUUCGCCCUCCAAAAACCUUGCCGUCGCUCCCACGCGUAGCACCGGUCCUCCUUCCACCUUCCCCUUCCACCCAUCUGGCCUUCCCGCCCGCCUCUCCCCCGAUCCCCACGCAUCUCCUCCGGUGGCCGCCUUCGGCGAGUGGAAUCUGUUCCUCACUGGCUCGCUGCAUUCUUCCCCUGUGGGGUGUUGGUGUGGGGAUGGGAUCUGACAGGAUCGGGAUGAGGAGGCGGCUGCGAGGUACACGCUCUGGACGCCGCGCGUGUAUGCGCUCAUUGCCGAGGCCGAUGCCGCUCUUUCUGGAGGCUGACGCAGCUCUUACUGGAAGAAAUCCCACGGGGUCAAGCGGGGUGACGAGGGCACCUACAUCCUUUCAUGUUUGGGCGCUGGAGGGCGACGGGAGUCAUCGAUUCGCCGUCUGGCUACUGCACUAGGGGACUGCGGCUGCUACAAAAGAUGCAGCAAUCGAAAGAUGCACAGGUACUUGAUGAGAUGCCACUAAGUCAGUUUGCUAUCUCAGGUUAUAUUGGACGGUAAUUUAUUUUACAAUACAACUACAUCUUUCUUGAAUCAGACUCGGCCUAUUUCUGUGCAAUUUUGUUCUAUAGCUAUUUUUUUGGUGGCUUUCUUUGUUUUGCUUUAUGUUGUAUAGUCAGUACAAAACUCAAGCCCCAUCAUCUGACAAUUCUGUAGUAAUGACUGAAACUAUUCGAGGACAAAUCUUCGAUUGUUGUUGUCGUUGGAAAUUAGAGUUGCAUGGUUGGCAUGGUCAACAUGGCAAAGAAAGUAUAGAAGAUUUGCCAAACCAGGUAUGGGCUUGUAGAGUACCUCAGGUAAUCAGAUUCUGCACCCAAAUUUAAUUUUACUUGCUUUUAAAUGAUUCUAGGGCACAUGAUGUUGAUAUGCUAGAUUGUGUUGUAGUUUAUGCUUGUCUGAUUAUGUAUAUUUUCUUACAGAACGUCAUAUUUCUUUUUUGAGAAAUUAUAUAGGUGUAGGCUGAGCAUGGACGUUUGCGCUGUUGUGUGUGUUGAGGUCAAUCUCAGUUUGGUACACAGCAGAGCUAAGGGCGUGCACUUGCCAAAUAUGGUGUAUGUCGGACUUUCCCCAUUUAUUUUUUCUCACACCAUACGAGAAUUAUACAGCUAAAUAUAUCGAGAUUAACAUUAGUUUCCCCUGCUGAAGCUUGUGCAAUUGUAUUUAUGUUGAGCAGAGAAUUGGUCAACAAUAAAGGAGAACAAGAAUUGUAUUUUGUAUUACUAUUUUUAUACAAACUUUCUUCCCACACCAUUA